CGGGUGAGUAACACGUGGAUAACCUACCUAUAAGACUGGGAUAACUUCGGGAAACCGGAGCUAAUACCGGAUAAUAUAUUGAACCGCAUGGUUCAAUAGUGAAAGACGGUUUUGCUGUCACUUAUAGAUGGAUCCGCGCCGCAUUAGCUAGUUGGUAAGGUAACGGCUUACCAAGGCAACGAUGCGUAGCCGACCUGAGAGGGUGAUCGGCCACACUGGAACUGAGACACGGUCCAGACUCCUACGGGAGGCAGCAGCU
rnacentral:rRNA from 1 species